GAAACAUAAUUAUGUAGCCUGGAAUAACAUUGAAGCGACUGGGGCAAAUUAUAGUGUAAAUCCAUAGACAAUGCAUCGAAUGUGCAAGCACCCACAAUAGGUUCUUGGUAAAGGCACUGAGGCGAUCAAGCACACAAUGGCGGGAAAUAUCGAAUAGCUGCAUGGUUGGCAGGUGAGAGGGAAUGUAUUUUACCAACAGGCAUGACAGGAAUGCAUCUCCACUGUCUAUGGACAACAAAAUGGCGUCAAUGAUGAGAGAAUAUGUCCGACCCGCACAAUUAAAACAGCCAGCGAGCGGACAACGAAUUUUUCUUGUGGUUCUUAAUUUGUAUGAGAGGAAAUGAUGGAAACUUCUGGAAGUGAUUUUGAGGCAUUAGUUUGGUGAUAACUAGUGCCCAGGUUCUGAUGAUAACCCCAAGUACCAAUCCAGCCUUCGACAUCAAAAUAUUUGGAAUGAAGUACUAGUAUGCUCAUCGGAAGGAAUUCGAAAAUGGUGCCCUAGAAUCUGGUGUCGACCCCAAAGUACCGAUCCAGACUUCGACGUCACUACAAUGUUAAUGAAUGAACGGAUGUUGACAACGACGACGACGAUGGCUAUUGAACUCUUCCACACCAAGGCGGCCUGGUUAGCGAUGGAAGCGGGGUGGUGGAUACAUUGAUGACUACGGGAGGACUUGUCUCAUCACUAAAACUAAGAAAUUUCAGAUUGUCGUAACAUUUAAAUCCAACAUCCAGUUUUGAUAUCUUUAGUCUUGAGUUAGGCUUGUUUGCAAGCAGCUUUUCUCAAGUUAUUAAAUUCAACUCGGUAAUGGGCGUACUAUAUAAAUACAUGUAUAAGCUUUCAAUGAGCUGGGCUUGAAAAUCAUUGACAUUCCGGGUAGUCAAUAGAUAUUUUGAUGGGUGAGCUGGGGGUAUGCUUACAUUUAAAAAAAAAAUUUUAACAUGAACAACCUUCAUAACGUAAUAAAUAAAAUAAAAUUAAGUACCGUCUGAUCUAGUAUCGACUCAUUGUAGAUUGUGUCGAUUAGCCCACAAAGUUUUCGAUGAUGCCGACAAUACAAUGGGUGAUUUCAAGUUCGGUGUCGGUGUUGGUGUGAUUGUUGGAGGCACAUUUUGGAUUGUGUCUCCGAGCUCCCAAACCUAUUCUGAGUUUAAAACAAAUAAUCCAGAUUACGAUAUUGACAGCUCAACAUAUAGUGAGAGACUUUUCAGGACCAUCUUCAUUCUAUGGUCAACAGUGAAAGUUCAUUGCAGUUCUAUACCAACAUUAAUCAUGCCAAUUCAUUGAUCUUAACCGAGUGCCCUUUUUAUCCCCGAUAUAAAUAUCCUUAUUUGAUUCAAUCUACAAUGAUGAAAUUGAUUACAAGAAAACAAUAAUAUUACCAAUGAUUAUAAAGUAUUGGACUCGGAUUGUCUUCUAUGAUCAUGAUACAUGUAUAAGACGCAUAGUUAUAAAGUAGGCUUAAGCUUUAUCUGUUCUUUUUCUAAUUUUCCCUUAUUUGACCCAAGAGUGUAAACGCAAAUUAAAGGACCCAAGCGUCAGUGCCAAAUGCAGGAUUUUGAUUGGAUGAAAAUAGAAUGAUGAAUGAUUUGUUUUAGUUAUGUUUGAUGGUACCUCUUUCUGGAAGGGACCCCUGAUUAGGAUCUUGCUGAAAUUGUGCAAAACAAAACAAAAAACGGACAUUUAUGAAACUAUCAAAGAUCAAGGCCCAGUCUUACAGAGAGUUACAGUUGAUUCGAUCAAUUUCAAGUAUGUGGAAAUCCAUCAAUGUCAUAAUUUUUCUUUAGGAAAUUUGCUCAAUGUCCUUUGAAAAGUAAUAGAAGCAUACUAAAUUGUCAAGAAAAAAAGUGAAUGUAUGAAUAUACGUCAUUUCUAGAAAAUAUUUUGAACAAACAACAUGUAUUUUAGAUGUUGACGUUGCUGGCUUUCCAUAGUUGCGAUUGAUCCGAUCAAUCGCAAAUAUUUGAUAGACGGGCCCCAGAUCCACUGAGGGGUAGAAACGAGGUGUUAUGAUGAGAAGAGGAUGCAAUAGGAUCUAAAUAAGUCUCAAAUUGGUAACACAGAAUUUAAGGACCCAUACACCCCUCUUUUGGUGCUCUUCUCCCCCAUUUUUAUCCUUAUUUUUACUACUACUUGAUGAACCGGGGGGGGGAUGAUUGCCCCUGCCCCCACUGAACAAAAAUAAAAUUCCCUUAGAUUCUCAUACACCUUGGCAAUUUACUUCUCCGAGCCGAACGUCAAAUUCCGAUUGAGGUUGCUUUUACGGUAAUUUCUAUCAAAACAAAAGAUAAUGUAUGCAUUGGCAUCAUGCAACGCACAAGGCUCGAUGCAUAACAACUUGAAAAUGUUUUUAUUCUUCUAUUUCAGCCCGUGCAUUUAUGGCCACCUUAGGUUAUAUUGAUUUGGAGUCGAAAUCGCUUUUCUCACUGUUUAUUAAUCGACAAUUUUUAUUAUAAAAGCAAGUCAUUUUUUGUGUUCAGAAUGUUAGUAGAUUUCACCAAUUUUGCCUUUGUUUUACGAUGUAUUUUGAAGUCCAGUCAAAAUAAGCCAUAAAAAAUAAAAUGCUGUUUUACUUGGACCAUUCGCUGAUAAGCUAAUGAUCAUUGGUCGUCCGUUUGAAUGAUCCAUGAACAUUUUCAUGAAACAGAUAAUCAGUGAUUUUCACUGACAAUUGUAAUAAGCCACUGAAAUCCUUGCAUCUGAUUGGCUCAGAGCAAUUUUUGGAUGAAAAUUGUUGACAAGAUGCUUUAUGAAACACUCCCCAGACCAUAAUAUUUCAAAACCUCAAUAUUAGUGUGAAUUUAAAGGUCGUCCACCCAACAAAAAAAUUGAUUUGAACUGCAUGAAUUAUACAAUAUUUCAAUAAUUAUUUUCCUAUUUAACAAUAGAGAAGCUCUUCAUCAAAUUACUACCGCAAUAGCAAUUACACAUGCUUCGAGAUGAAGCAAACUAUUUCACAAUUAUUAUAUGAAGAAAAAGCAAGAUAUUCCAUAUAUAAAAUAUAUGUCAUAUCAUUGCCAACCUCAUUUGCAUACUGACAAGGAUGUGCACAUAACUGUUUUUUUUCAAUAAACAGAACUUCAAAAUUUUAUGAUUAAUUCCUUCUUUUGUAACCGUUUUUUUAAAUGAAAUUUCCAAUGUUAUGCUCCUUUGAUUAUUUUCAUUCAAUUCAAACCAAUGUUUUAUUGGAAUGGACUUUUCCUUUAAGAGUCACAUAGAUCUUAUAAAGAUAUUUUACAAUUAUGCACUGCAAAAUAGCAUUCAUAAAUUGUUUUGAGUAUUCGGGUGCUUCAUUUAUCACAUUAUAGCUGGGGGCCGUUUCAUAAAUCUGUUCCUAAAUCGGGAAUUUUGACUGGACUUUUUUGUUAUUAAAUGACUUUGUCUGAUUU